GGCCCCGGCCCGAGGCCUGCCUAGGUGUCCCCUUCCCGUCCCGCCCCAGCCCCCAGGCCAUAGACCCACAGCCUGGGCGUCCAGGCGCCAAGGUGCAUUUAUGGAGCUCUUACGGUGUGCCUUGAUCUCUCUGAGUGAGCCAGGUAAAGCGGUGACAGGCACCCGUCAUCCCAGCUCUUGGAACACAGAGGCGCCAGAAGUUCCUGGACAUUCUCAGCUACUUAGUGAAUGUGAAGCCGGACUGUGCUACGCUACAUGAGUUCCAACGUCAGACACCUAAAGGCUGAGGUGUGGCCCUGGCCUCUGGGUGAGCAGCCCUGCCGUCUCCCACACUGCAAACAAACACACAAGCCAGACUGCACCCUCGCGGGCCUCCCUGGGGUCCUGUUCCUCCAGCACCCAGUGGCGGCUGUGACCUCUGCCCCCACCACCUAUUGGUGUUCUGUACAUCUAGGUAUUUAAUCUGUUCAUUUUGUCUUUAUUCCUGCUCCAAAACCUAGGACAGGGCCCAACUCUCAAA